GAGCUUGCUCCUGGAUUCAGCGGCGGACGGGUGAGUAAUGCCUAGGAAUCUGCCUGGUAGUGGGGGACAACGUUUCGAAAGGAACGCUGAUACCGCAUACGUCCUACGGGAGAAAGCAGGGGACCUUCGGGCCUUGCGCUAUCAGAUGAGCCUAGGUCGGAUUAGCUAGUUGGUGAGGUAAUGGCUCACCAAGGCGACGAUCCGUAACUGGUCUGAGAGGAUGAUCAGUCACACUGGAACUGAGACACGGUCCAGACUCCUACGGGAGGCAGCAGUGGGGAAUAUUGGACAAUGGGCGAGAGCCUGAUCCAGCCAUGCCGCGUGUGUGAAGAAGGUCUUCGGAUUGUAAAGCACUUUAAGUUGGGAGGAAGGGUUGUAGAUUAAUACUCUGCAAUUUUGACGUUACCGACAGAAUAAGCACCGGCUAACUCUGUGCCAGCAGCCGCGGUAAUACAGAGGGUGCAAGCGUUAAUCGGAAUUACUGGGCGUAAAGCGCGCGUAGGUGGUUUGUUAAGUUGGAUGUGAAAUCCCCGGGCUCAACCUGGGAACUGCAUCCAAAACUGGCAAGCUAGAGUAUGGUAGAGGGUGGGUGGAAUUUCCUGUGUAGCGGUGAAAUGCGUAGAUAUAGAGAAUGAACACCAGUGGGCGAAGGCGACCACCUGGACUGAUACUGACACUGAGGUGCGAAAGCGUGGGGA
rnacentral:rRNA from 1 species